rnacentral:rRNA from 1 species
AGGACGAACGCUGGCGGCGUGCUUAACACAUGCAAGUCGAGCGGAAAGGCCCUUCGGGGUACUCGAGCGGCGAACGGGUGAGUAACACGUGAGCAACCUGCCCUUGGCUCUGGGAUAGCCUCCGGAAACGGGGAUUAAUACCGGACAUUCACUGAUCCCUGCAUGGGGGAUGGUGGAAAGUUUUUCGGCCAGGGAGGGGCUCGCGGCCUAUCAGCUUGUUGGCGGGGUAACGGCCCACCAAGGCGACGACGGGUA